rnacentral:tRNA from 1 species
UGGCUCAUGGACGACGACGUCGAGGUCGUCACCGACGGCCUGGACCGCAUGGGGCACUGGGCGCCGAAGUUCCGCAGCAUCCAGGGCCGCC